UAGACUAAUAUCCUCCUGUGCCCUACUUCACUUCUGCUCUGUGUAUGUGUGUGUGAAUUGAAAAAUGAUGCAAUCUGUGAUUGGAAGCAAGUGUGUUCUUAUGGCAUAUAUGUGCAAGAGCCGUUUAAUGCCAGAGCCUCAAAAUGCUUGCAUUAUUAGAUAAAUGCACAAUUUUAAGAGCAAAGGUUGCUGUGUGUGUGUAGCUAAUGCUUAAUCUUCAAGUGCUUUGUACAUAACAACUGAGCUGUCUUGGCAUAUGAUGAUACGAUAGUAACAUAUAGAAUAUUUGGCACACUGUAUCCUACAGAUAUAAAUAGCUACAACAGCACGCAGUAGCAUGGCUGGCAUAGCUACAGCCAUAUCCUAUAUUACAUUUGGCAACUCUGUCAAACACUGUCACGUUCACUUUCUGUUAGUUGCACUGCCACCAUUUUUAAAAAAUAGAUCCUGGUUAUCAUGCCCUCUGUUUUGAGAUGAGGAGAUCAAGAAUUAAUCUCACCUGCUCUGAAAAGCCAUUUGUCACUCUGGAGCAAGAUGUUUUUGGAUGCAGAGCAGUGGCUUGAGCGAGGAACUGCUAUCAAGCCCAGAAACCACAUAAUAGCCUUCAACUCAGGGCAUCAGAUCAGCCAAACCUGCUUUUUUUAGUUAUUUCUGAAAUUGGAAUCAAUUAUGACUUGAGUGAUUUAUUUGCCAGUUAAUUAUCACCCAGAACAAAAACUGACUGCUGAGGUAAGAAGAGGCAUUAAUUAACAGGCUGAAAAACAACCCAAAAUGCUUAUCUAAUUGGUGAUUAGAAAGUACAAUGGAUAAGGAAGUUCUGAGGUGUUAAAAAUAUUCAUUUUUUAUUACUUGUAACUCUCUGUCCUGUCCAUGUGGUGAUGGAGGAGACUUACACAAUUUUUCCAAGGCAGAGACUGACAAGGGAGAGACUUAAACAAUUCAGUUUCACAAAAAUACCAUUGAACACCCUACUGAUUGGUAUCAUGCAACAAUUAUUGGAUGAACAAUUGAAAGAACUCAAAGCUGAGAUGUGCAGAAUGCUGAAUGAAAAUGGUUCAGAGAAAAACCAGACCAAAGAAUUCACAGAACCUGUGGGGGGAAAGUGUUGAUCAAGAUCUACCUGAAUAUGAGAGUGAAAAGGCAAAGUGGGAAACAGCGGAGAAGGAAAUGAUCUCCACACAGGUGUUUGGAGGACUGAAACAGACAAAUGAUGGCAUUGGGAUGCUGUAAGAGAGGAAUGGAAUUUUGGACAGAGACAUUAAGAAACAUCCAGAGAUGGCAGAGAUAGAGCUGAGAUAGAAAGGCUUGUGUACAAGUUGAAGUGAAUGCAGAAGAGAAAACCACCAAGCUUCUGAUGAUGUGUUUGGAAAACGAAUGGAAGAAAUGGAAAUGGAAUUAUUUUUUCCCUUUAAAUUAAGAUGGGAAAACAUGGCCAAUAGGAAAUGGGACUAGAAAAUAUGGAAUUGGAUAAGAAUUAACAGAAAUACAACAAGUAAGUACAGUGGUACCUCGGGUUAAGUACUUAAUUCGUUCCGGAGGUCCGUUCUUAACCUGAAACUGUUCUUAACCUGAAGCACCACUUUAGCUAAUGGGGCCUCCUGCUGCCACCACGCUGCUGGAGCACGAUUUCUGUUCUCAUCCUGAAGCAAAGUUCUUAACCUGAGGUACUAUUUCUGGGUUAGCGGAGUCUGUAACCUGAAGUGUAUGUAACCUGAGGUACCACUGUAAUUGUUACUAUUACUCUGAUAAGAGUUUUUGCAAUCUCUUGGAGAAAAAAGUCAUUGUACUGGAUUGGAGAAAGACUAUUCUUGACAUUUAGCAAUAAUAACACUAGAAGAAUCCCUUUUAGACUAUUUGUGUGGAAAGAAAACUAAAUGAACGAGAUGUCUGGGACUGAAGACUGGGAAAACACUGCCUAGCAGAAUGAGGAACAGCUGGACGUUACCCUGGGAUCCAGCUAGAUACUAUCCAGGAGUGAAUGUUUUGAAUAUUUUGAAUAAUCUCUUUAUAUACAUAAUUGGCAGGCGGAGAACCGGAAAUCCCCCUUAUUUCUAUCUUCUAGCAUUCUGCUUAUGUUUCUUUCAUAUGAUAGCUUUUGUCUUCUUCUGUUAACUUUACCCAUACUCAUGUUUUGUUCUGUUUUUGAUGUCCUCUAUUCAGAGUUAAUGAGGCUACACAUAGGAAGGUGAUAGAAGGAUGAUGAAGGACCCUGGUAGGGAAGGGAAGAUCUCCCAGGGUGAGAGGCUGGGAGAAGAAAGGGAAGAUCUGCCAGGUGAGAGCUGGGUGGGUGCACCACCUUUUGUGUGGGACAAAGGUUAACAUGCACCUCUGAUAGAGGAUUUUGUUUUGUUUUUCUUCCACUUCUUCUCUCUGUUCUUUCUUUCUUUCUUUCUUUGGUUGUUCUCCUUUUUUCUAUUUUUAUUUAGGUUAGUUUGGAUUUUAUUGUAUUGUAUGCUGAAAAGUUUCAAUAAUUUUUUUAAGCCCCAAAUAUGGACUGCUCAGAGAUGUGGGCUUUGGGGGGGGGGCAGAUUUCCUGUGUGAUGGCUCCAACUUGUGCACUGGGUUCUACUUCAGAAGACAUCUGAAUGAGGAAGUAAACAUAACACAAAUGUGUUAAGUAAUGUAUCCUUGCAGAAGAGAAGCAACUCAACUGCAUACUAAGGAUUGCUCUAGCCCCUGAGGGAUUGACUGAGCCUCUGGGCUUCUAAUUGCCUAUCUCCCACAGUAAUUUUCUGUUAAAAUUAAUCACCACUUUUAUUGUGUUAUAAUUAAUGUAGAUACAGCGGCGGAGUAUAUGCCCGAACUGCCCAGGGCAGGCUCGUGGGGUGCACCCCUGAGGGAGCCACAGUUCAGGGUAGGGGAAGGGUGGGGAAGCUGCUGCCCACUGUCCUCCUGUUCUCCACCGCAGGGUCAGGCCUGACCCAGCAGCGGAGGUGCUGCCACCAGGCGCGAGGUGUGCCGCGGCCAAGGAGGCUCCGCCCAUCCGCCUGCUCUCCUCCCCUGGGUCAGGCCUGACCCAAGGGUGAGCAGAGCUGCGCCAGGCACGAGUAUCUCAGCCAAGGUGCAGCUCCUUCUGGCGUGGUGCCAGGCUCCAAUGAAGGAGCCUUGCCCUAGGAGUGCCUGUUUGCGCCCCCUCUCAAAAUUGCUUGACACCCCUGGUACACCUCUGUGUAGACAUAAUGUAGAUGUAUGUUCUUGCUCAGGUGACUCAAACUCUUAAGUAUCAGUGGAAAGUUUUCCUAACCUCUAAAUUCAAUUUGCAUAUAUUGAAAGCUACCUUUGAUUUGUUCCAUGAUCUCUGCUUUUUCACACAUUUCUGGAAGGCAUUGUAACUGUAUAACCCCCAUUGCACUCUAAGCUUUAUAC